rnacentral:rRNA from 1 species
GUCUUUUAGUUAUUUAUUUAAAGUCUAACCUGCCCAUUGAAUAGUAUUUAAAAGGCUGCGGUAUUUUGACCGUACAAAGGUAGCAUAAUCAUUAGUUUUUUAAUUGGAAACUUGUAUGAAUGGUUGAAUGAAACAUUAACUUUUUUUAGAAAAAAAAUGAAUUUUACUUUUUAAUUAAAAGGUUAAAAUAUAAUUAAAAGACGAGAAGACCCUAUAGAGUUUUAUAAAUUUUUAAAUAUUUAUAUAAAUAAAGAUUAAUUAUUAUUAUAUUAAUAAAUUUAUUUUAUUGGGGUGAUAAUAAAAUUUAAUAAACUUUUAUUUUUUAUAUACAUUAAUAUAUGAAAUUUUGAUCCAUUAAUAAUGAUUAUAAGUUUAAGUUACCUUAGGGAUAACAGCGUAAUUUUUUUUUAAGUUCUUAUUAAUAAAAAAGUUUGCGACCUCGAUGUUGGAUUAAGAUUAAUUUUAGGUGCAGAAGUUUAAAAUUUAAGUCUGUUCGACUUUUAAAUUCUU